rnacentral:rRNA from 1 species
AGGGAUUGCCUCAGUAACGGCGAGUGAAGCGGCAAAAGCUCAAAUUUGAAAUCCUUCGGGAGUUGUAAUUUGUAGGUUGGGAGACCCCGCGGCUAGUGGCACCAAGUCCCUUGGAACAGGGCGCCUUAGAGGGUGAGAGCCCCGUAGGUACCACAACACCGUCUUGUGUCUCCUCUCCAAAGAGUCGAGUUGUUUGGGAAUGCAGCUCAAAGUGGGUGGUAAAUUCCAUCUAAAGCUAAAUACCGGCGAGAGACCGAUAGCGAACAAGUACAGUGAUGGAAAGAUGAAAAGCACUUUGAAAAGAGAGUGAAACAGUACGUGAAAUUGUUGAAAGGGAAGGGCUUGCAAGCAGACACGGCCUUCGUGCCGGGCCAGCAUCGGUUGCUAGGGGUGGAUAAGGAACAAGGAAUGUAGCUCCUCGGAGUAUUAUAGCCUUGCGCGAUACACCCACUGGCGACCGAGGCCUGCGGUAUUCUUUACCUAGGAUGCUGGCGU